UUACAUGAGAUAACUUAUAUUUCUCACCCUAACCCACUGUUUGAUAGGCUUUGUAAAUAAUAAUGAAGGCCCGCACCAAAAUCAAAGCCCGCUCCAAAAUCACUGUUCAGAAGAGAAAAUACAACCACCGCUCACCCCCAGUUGAAUAAUAUCGAUUUGAACAGUGAAAUGAUAUUAGAUUUCAACUUUACAAUUUUAUCCCUCAAAUUACUUCAAAUCGGAGGGGUAGGGGUCUGCAAAUCCGCCUCCUUCGACAUAACGAAGACGAGUUAUUCAGCUGAUGAAGUGAGUUUUUGCGUCAGAUCCUCUCGAAGUACUUGCAGGUUCGGUAUUUCGCUGGUGAAGGCCGCUAGAGUUGAGGGUGCCAUCUUUACCCUGUUUGAAACGGGUACAAGUUUGUGCAAUGAGAUGCUUGUUUGGAGUCAUGUAGUUUGUUUUCUGAAUUUUGUCUUUCCUAAAUAACAAUUACAAGCAUCAAUUUCUUUCUGAAUUCAGAACCUAUGCUUCAAGUUCUCUGAUUUGGGUGUUUGUGAAUUGGGAUCCUAGUCUUGUUUGUUUUUUGAAUUUGGGUCUUUGUGCAUCUCAAGCUUGUUUGGAAAAUCAGAUUUUGAUGUAUUUGGGAACCAAGCUUUCCUCUGUCAACCAAGCCUGUUUGUGUUACACAUGCACAUAUUUAUCUUCUUAUGUAAAUUGAGAUUCUGGGCUCUUCUUAUUUCUACUUUCCAUUGGCCAAUUUAAAGUAAUGGUCUUGCAUUCUUGCUGCAAA